CCUACGGGCGGCAGCAGUGGGGAAUAUUGGACAAUGGGCGAAAGCCUGAUCCAGCCAUGCCGCGUGUGUGAAGAAGGCCUUCGGGUUGUAAAGCACUUUCAGUGGGGAAGAAAGCCUUGGGGCUAAUACCCUCGAGGAAGGACAUCACCCACAGAAGAAGCACCGGCUAACUCCUGCCAGCAGCCGCGGUAAUACGGAGGGUGCGAGCGUUAAUCGGAAUUACUGGGCGUAAAGCGCGCGUAGGCGGUCUGAUAAGCCGGUUGUGAAAGCCCCGGGCUCAACCUGGGAACGGCAUCCGGAACUGUCAGGCUAGAGUGCAGGAGAGGAAGGUAGAAUUCCCGGUGUAGCGGUGAAAUGCGUAGAGAUCGGGAGGAAUACCAGUGGCGAAGGCGGCCUUCUGGACUGACACUGACGCUGAGGUGCGAAAGCGUGGGUAGCAAACAGGAUUAGAUACCCCGGUAGUC
rnacentral:rRNA from 1 species